UACGUAGGUGACAAGCGUUGUCCGGAUUUACUGGGCGUAAAGAGCGCGCAGGCGGUCGUUCAAGUCGAGUGUGAAAGCCCCCGGCUCAACUGGGGAGGGUCAUUCGAUACUGAUCGACUCGAAGGCAGGAGAGGGUAGUGGAAUUCCUGGUGUAGCAGUGAAAUGCGUAGAUAUCAGGAGGAAUACCGAUGGCGAAGGCAGGUCUCUGGGCUGACACUGACGCUCAUGCACGAAAGCGUGGGGAGCAAACAGG
rnacentral:rRNA from 1 species